rnacentral:rRNA from 1 species
GACGAACGCUGGCGGCGUGCCUAAUACAUGCAAGUUGAGCGAUGAAGAUUGGUGCUUGCACCAAUUUGAAGAGCAGCGAACGGGUGAGUAACGCGUGGGGAAUCUGCCUUUGAGCGGGGGACAACAUUUGGAAACGAAUGCUAAUACCGCAUAACAACUUUAACCAUAAGUUUUAAGUUUGAAAGAUGCAAUUGCAUCACUCAAAGAUGAUCCCGCGUUGUAUUAGCUAGUUGGUGAGGUAAAGGCUCACCAAGGCGAUGAUACAUAGCCGACCUGAGAGGGGGAUCGGCCACAUUGGGACUGAGACAAGGCCCAAAACCCUAAGGGAGGCAGCAGGAGGGAAUCUUCGGCAAUGGACGAAAGGCUGAACGAGGAAAGCCGCGUGAGGGAAGAAGGGUUUCGGAUCGUAAAACUCCGUUGGUAGAGAAGAAAGUUGGGGAGAGUGGAAAGCGCAUCAAGUGACGGUAACUACACAGAAAGGGACGGCUAACUACGUG